rnacentral:siRNA from 1 species
CUAGAGGUCGAGUAUCGCCAUC